rnacentral:rRNA from 1 species
GGCGAACGGGUGAGUAACACGUGGGUGAUCUGCCCUGCACUCUGGGAUAAGCCUGGGAAACUGGGUCUAAUACCGGAUAGGACCAUGCUUUAGUGUGUGUGGUGGAAAGUUUUUCGGUGUAGGAUGAGCCCGCGGCCUAUCAGCUUGUUGGUGGGGUAAUGGCCUACCAAGGCGGCGACGGGUAGCCGGACUGAGAGGUUGGUCUGCCACAUUGGGACUGAGAUACGGCCCAG